rnacentral:rRNA from 1 species
UACGUAGGUGACCAGCGUUGUCCGGAUUUACUGGGCGUAAAGAGCGCGCAGGCGGUCGUUCAAGUCGAGUGUGAAAGCCCCCGGCUCAACUGGGGAGGGUCAUUCGAUACUGAUCGACUUGAAGGCAGGAGAGGGAAGUGGAAUUCCCGGUGUAGUGGUGAAAUGCGUAGAUAUCGGGAGGAACACCAGUGGCGAAGGCGGUUACCUGGAGCUUUGCUGACGCUGAUGCGCGAAAGCGUGGGGAGCGAUCCGG